GAUGAACGCUGGCGGCGUGCCCAAUACAUGCAAGUCGAGCGAACAGACGAGGUGCUUGCUCCUCUGACGUUAGCGGCGGACGGGUGAGUAACACGUGGAUAACCUACCUAUAAGACUGGGAUAACUUCGGGAAACCGGAGCUAAUACCGGAUAAUAUAUUGAACCGCAUGGUUCAAUAGUGAAAGACGGUUUUGCUGUCACUUAUAGAUGGAUCCGCGCCGCAUUAGCUAGUUGGUAAGGUAACGGCUUACCAAGGCAACGAUGCGUAGCCGACCUGAGAGGGUGAUCGGCCACACUGGAACUGAGACACGGUCCAGACUCCUACGGGAGGCAGCAGUAGGGAAUCUUCCGCAAUGGGCGAAAGCCUGACGGAGCAACGCCGCGUGAGUGAUGAAGGUCUUCGGAUCGUAAAACUCUGUUAUUAGGGAAGAACAAAUGUGUAAGUAACUAUGCACGUCUUGACGGUACCUAAUCAGAAAGCCACGGCUAACUACGUG
rnacentral:rRNA from 1 species